UACAGAGGGGGCAAGCGUUGUUCGGAAUUACUGGGCGUAAAGGGCGCGUAGGCGGCCUGUUAAGUCGAACGUGAAAUCCCCGGGCUCAACCCGGGAACUGCGUCCGAUACUGGCAGGCUUGAAUCCGGGAGAGGGAUGCGGAAUUCCAGGUGUAGCGGUGAAAUGCGUAGAUAUCUGGAGGAACACCGAUGGCGAAGGCAGGUCUCUGGGCCGAUACUGACGCUGAGGAGCGAAAGCGUGGGGAGCGAACAGG
rnacentral:rRNA from 1 species